UGGAUCACCUCCUAACAGGGAGACAACAAAAUGUUUAAUAUUAUUAUUUUGUCACCUUAGGUCGAUCGGUAUCUCACGUUCUUAAUUUAUUAAGAAUUUCAUUUCCUAAGUUUUUCUAGGUCACACCCAUUAUUUUCCUGGGCCAUUAGCUCAGGUGGUUAGAGCGCACCCCUGAUAAGGGUGAGGUCCCUGGUUCAAGUCCAGGAUGGCCCAUAUCUCUAUGUUGGGGGUAUAGCUCAGUUGGUAGAGCGCCUGCUUUGCAAGCAGGAUGUCAGCGGUUCGAGUCCGCUUACCUCCACUGAUUACCACCUCUUCCAUAAUCUGUAGAAAGGAAAUUUUUUGAGUUGUGAUCAAAUUCUGAACGAAUCUAGCUUCCUAAUGAAAUCAUUAAGACGCUGGACUCAUUGAAUUAAUUUCAUUGUUCUCAGAGAACCUUGACAACUGCAUAGAUUAUUUUUAAAGACAAUAAGCAUCUUUAAUGAUGCAGAUUUAUUUUUUGUGCAAAUGCAUUAAAUAACAAUUCUAUUAAGCUGAUGCUUCAAUUUUGAAGUUAUUGGUCAAGCUACAAAGGGCUCACGGAGGAUACCUAGGCACACAGAGGCGAUGAAGG
rnacentral:tRNA from 1 species